rnacentral:rRNA from 1 species
GAUGAACGCUGGCGGCGUGCCUAAUACAUGCAAGUCGAGCGAACGGACGAGAAGCUUGCUUUUCUGAUGUUAGCGGCGGACGGGUGAGUAACACGUGUAUAACCUACCUAUAAGACUGGGAUAACUUCGGGAAACCGGAGCUAAUACCGGAUAAUAUUUUGAACCGCAUGGUUCAAAAGUGAAAGACGGUCUUGCUGUCACUUAUAGAUGGAUCCGCGCUGCAUUAGCUAGUUGGUAAGGUAACGGCUUACCAAGGCAACGAUGCAUAGCCGACCUGAGAGGGGGAUCGGCCACACUGGAACUGAGACACGGUCCAGACUACUACGGGAGGCAGCAGUAGGGAAUCUUCCGAAAUGGGCGAAAGCAUGACGGAGCAACGCCGCGUGAGUGAUGAAGGUCCUCGGAUCGUAAAACUCUGUUAUUAGGGAAGAACAUAUGUGUAAGUAACUGUGCACAUCUUGACGGUACCUAAUCAGAAAGCAACGGCUAACUACGUG